UUCAAGAAGCUUUUCUUUUUCUUUUUUUUUGGGGGGGGGGGGGGGCACUGACUGUCCUAUCUUGAGGGGGCGCGCCUCAGUCAUUCCCUAUAUCAUCAACAUGGUUUUUCCCACAAAAAGGGGGGGGCUGGCCCUCUGGAUCCGCCUAUGUUCUUUUAUUAUGAACUACCCUUCUCCGCACCAUGGGAUUGCUUAACUUAAAUAUAUAGAAGAAGAAGAAGAUGCUUUAUUUCCAUAAAAUGGGCUCACAAAAAACUCGGGAGCAUAUAAAAAAUUUAAUACUGGCCAGUAGCGGAUCCAGAAGAUUUUUUCCCAGAAUAAGGGGGAAGGG
rnacentral:lncRNA from 1 species